GCAGUGCGGUCUUGCCUUUACAAUACGUACUGUCGUGGUACUUACAAUCCUUGAUGCACCGAAUUCGUUACAGCUGAUUAAGCCACAAUGUCAAGUUUUUGUCAUGACUCGUUUUUUUAGCUGAAACUUUUAGUUCCCUUUGCAUCAGUUGCAGUGUCUGAUUUCAAUUAAGAAGACGUUUUUAUAGAAAUAUAUAUUAAAAUGAUGAACAGUAAAGUUAAUGAUGUAAAGCAUGUAGGCUGCCAUGAGUCGUGUAUACCAGGGUGUGAAUGCCAAGAUGUUAGACUCGAUGGAACGUGCAUCAAGUAAUAUUCAAGAUCUGGUCAGCAACAAAAUUGAUAGCUUAAGGGAUUAAUUUAAAUAUUUAUCAUGAUAACAUGGAU